rnacentral:rRNA from 1 species
AUGAAUCUCAUCAGUUGGAACUGCCGGGGGGCGGGGAACUCCCGGACAGUUCUUGAAAUUGCGACGAUCUCUCAGUCGCAUUCCCCCAUGCUAGUCUUUCUCUGUGAGACUAGACAAAAAGCUUCAAAAAUGAGAAGGACACGAUCUCGUAUUGGCUUAAAAGGUUUUGAUGGUGUUGAUAGUUCUGGGAUGAGUGGGGGACUAACUCUCUUCUGGCACGAGUCCUAUUUGGUGGAGAUCAUGGACAAAAAUGAC